rnacentral:rRNA from 1 species
UACGGAGGGGGGCUAGCGUUGUUCGGAAUUACUGGGCGUAAAGCGCACGUAGGCGGCUUUGUAAGUAAGAGGUGAAAGCCUGGUGCUCAACACCAGAACUGCCUUUUAGACUGCAUCGCUUGAAUCCAGGAGAGGUGAGUGGAAUUCCGAGUGUAGAGGUGAAAUUCGUAGAUAUUCGGAAGAACACCAGUGGCGAAGGCGGCUCACUGGAGCUGGUAUUGACGCUGAGGUGCGAAAGCGUGGGGAGCAAACAGG